rfam:Cryptobacterium curtum DSM 15641, complete genome.
AGGUGUGGUAGAGGCGCGGUUUUCAUCAGUAGCUCCUUAACGGUGCGGAAACACACGGAGUAAAAGGGAACGCCGCCGAAGGGUCGCACAAUUUCCGUUGUACGAUACCUGGCAAGCGCGAGAAUAUCGUACUUGUUGCCGCUUUUGCGGAGAGCUAUCGUGGCG